GCGGCAGUGUAGCAUAGUGGUAAGUGGCAGGGUCUAUAACUGAGAGGUUGCUGGUUCAAUUCCACACUGCUGCU